AUUGAACGCUGGCGGCAGGCCUAACACAUGCAAGUCGAGCGGAUGACGGGAGCUUGCUCCUGGAUUCAGCGGCGGACGGGUGAGUAAUGCCUAGGAAUCUGCCUGGUAGUGGGGGACAACGUUUCGAAAGGAACGCUAAUACCGCAUACGUCCUACGGGAGGAAGCAGGGGACCUUCGGGCCUUGCGCUAUCAGAUGAGCCUAGGUCGGAUUAGCUAGUUGGUGAGGUAAUGGCUCACCAAGGCGACGAUCCGUAACUGGUCUGAGAGGAUGAUCAGUCACACUGGAACUGAGACACGGUCCAGACUCCUACGGGAGGCAGCAGUGGGGAACAUUGGACAAUGGGCGAAAGCCUGAUCCAGCCAUGCCGCGUGUGUGAAGAAGGUCUUCGGAUUGUAAAGCACUUUAAGUUGGGAGGAAGGGUUGUAGAUUAAUACUCUGCAAUUUUGACGUUACCGACAGAAUAAGCACCGGCUAACUCUGUGCCAGCAGCCGCCGUAAAAC
rnacentral:rRNA from 1 species